rnacentral:rRNA from 1 species
CUACGGGCGGCUGCAGUGGGGGAUAUUGCACAAUGGGGGAAACCCUGAUGCAGCAACGCCGCGUGAAGGAAGACGGUUUUCGGAUUGUAAACUUCUAUCAGCAGGGAAGAAAUUGACGGUACCUGACUAAGAAGCCCCGGCUAACUACGUGCCAGCAGCCGCGGUAAUACGUAGGGGGCAAGCGUUAUCCGGAUUUACUGGGUGUAAAGGGUGCGUAGGCGGUUAUUUAAGUCAGAUGUGAAAGCCCGAGGCUCAACCUCGGGACUGCAUUUGAAACUGGAUAACUAGAGUACAGGAGAGGAAAGCGGAAUUCCUAGUGUAGCGGUGAAAUGCGUAGAUAUUAGGAAGAACACCAGUGGCGAAGGCGGCUUUCUGGACUGUAACUGACGCUGAGGCACGAAAGCGUGGGGAGCGAACAGGAUUAGAUACCCCCGUAGUC